GGCAUGGGAGGCAUGAUUGUUGCUGAAGCGGAACUCAUGAAUGUCUCACGUCAUGUGGUUCUGUGCUAUUCUUAAUCUUCUUCUCUGAAGUGUGUAGUUUCAGUUCCACAUCAAAUGUGUUGCGCUUGCAGUGCGUACCAAUGUACAGUUUACCGAUGUGUAUAUAUGCGGAGUCGAUGGAAAACAUUGAAGCCAGUAGUUGUAUACCUAUUUCAAAAAUCAGCAAGUGGUUAGUAACAUUCUACAUCAAGGUUAUCAUAUGACAGAACGUCUGGGGUGAAAGCUAAGCUACUUCCAAUGGUCCCAAAUGAGAAGGCAAGAAGGUAUCAGCUGUAUGAGAAGACCCCCGCACAUGCCCAUUCCAUUCCCUAUGAAGUCAAAAGUUUCCCACUGAAUAUAUUUGGUACUAAAAUGGUCGUUAUGUCAGCACGACGAUCGUGUGCCUAUUGUUGGCUCUUAAUUCUUUAGGAUUAUUUGAUUUGUUUGAUUCAUUCUGUUCAUAUUUAUGC